UCYGGUUGAUCCUGCCAGAGGCCAUUGCUAUCCGAGUUCGAUUAAGCCAUGCGAGUCGCGAGGGGUAAGCCCUCGGCGAACUGCUCCGUAAUACACAGUCAACUUGCCCUUAGGAGGGGGAUAAUUUCGGGAAACUGAAGCUAAUACCCUAUAAGUGUUAAUUUCUGGAAUGAGUUAACACUCAAAGCCACGGCGCCUAAGGAUAGGACUGUGGACCAUCAGGCUGUUGCCGGGGUAAAGACCCAGCAAACCGAUAACGGUUACGGGCUAUGGAAGUAGGAGCCCGGAGAUGGAUUCUGAGACAUGAAUCCAGGUACUACGGUACGCAGCAGGCGCGAAACCUUUGCAAUCGGCUAACGCCGGACAAGGGAACUUGGAGUGUUCUAGCUUUGCUAGAACUUUUACCCACUGAAAACAGGUGGGAGAAUAAGGACUGGGUAAGACGGGUGCCAGCCGCCGCGGUAAUACCCGCAGUCCGAGUAAUGGUCGGAAUUAUUGGGUCUAAAGCGUCCGUAGCCGGUUUAAAAAGUCCUUCGUGAAAUUCUACAGUAAACUGUAGAGCGUGCGAGGGAUACUUUUAGACUUGAGACCGGGAGAGGGUAGAGGUACUUCUGGGGUAGGGGUGAAAUCCUAUAAUCCCAGGGGGACCACCUGUGGCGAAGGCGUCUACCUAGAACGGGUCUGACGGUGAGGGACGAAAGCUUGGGGAGCGAUCGGGAUUAGAUACCCCGGUAGUCCAAGCUGUAAACGAUGCCCGUUUGGUGUUACAAACCUCUCGGGGGUUUGUGGUGCCGGAGCGUAGGUGUUAAACGGGCCACCUGGGAAGUACGGUCGCAAGGCUGAAACUUAAGGGAAUUGGCGGGGGAGCACACAAGGGGUGGGCGUUGCGGUUCAAUUGGAUUCAACGCCGGG
rnacentral:rRNA from 1 species